UACGUAGGGGGCAAGCGUUGUCCGGAAUCAUUGGGCGUAAAGAGCGUGUAGGCGGCCAGAUAAGUCCGCUGUGAAAUCUCGAGGCUCAACUUCGAGCUGUCGGUGGAAACUGUCUGGCUAGAGUCCGGAAGAGGAGAAUGGAAUUCCUGGUGUAGCGGUGAAAUGCGCAGAUAUCAGGAAGAACACCCGUGGCGAAGGCGGUUCUCUGGGCAUGUUCUGACGCUGAGGAGCGAAAGUGUGGGGAGCGAACAGG
rnacentral:rRNA from 1 species